CGCGUCCCGGCGUCCGUGGCCGCGCGGGUCGGCCAAGGACCCGCGCUUGGGUGCGCCUCUUGGGCCGGGAGCCUCCGGCCGCGGAGGGGGCGAGCAAGAGAUUAAAAAUAGCAGAGUGCUUUGAAAUAGGACUUUCCCAGUGGCACGCUCCAAAGCGGUGACCCCGGGGGACAGUGGGCGGCGGCGGGGUGGGCUGCAGAGGAACAGCAGGCGGGGACCCUAUCCUGGGCCCGGGUCCGGUGCCCCCUCUCCCCGUCCCCGCCCUGCACCAGCCACUUGUUGCCGUGCCAAAGCCUGGGGACUGAAACUGCCACUUGGAUCCACAUAAGAGGAUUAAAACAAAAAGAGUAAUGAAGUUCCUGGCAGUGGCCUGUCCGUGUUGGCAGCGUCGCCCUGCCUGCAGCAGGUAGAGAAAACAGGCACCAUCCGUGGCUCUUCGCAGGCCCCAAGUCUUAGCCCCGAGACGCCAAGGCAGAGCAAAGGCAGGAAUUGGGUCAAAGGAAAAAAGGCAGCUUAGUGGUUGGUUUUAAUUACUGUAAAUGGAAAAACCACAUCCAAAAGUGCAUCUAAUGACUUUUACGGUAAUCCCACCAUGUUGACAUGAACCAGCCCACCCCUGCGCGCAGAGAAGACCACAACACAAAGUGCCAGAGGUCCAUCCCAGGACGCGGACAAAGGCAGGACCAUCAGAGGCAGACGUGGUUUCCAGCAGUGGCUCAGACUUCGGGCUCAUUCAGGGUCAGGCUACCCCAGAGGGCAAUUGAACAUCUGCCCAGCAGCUUAUGGACAGGAUGCACUUCCCUCUGUCAGGAACAGAGAUCAGUGGUGCCAGCUGCCACUGGGAACCUUGCCUGGUGCCCAAACACCCUGGGGAUUUGCCAGGGCAGCGUCGAGAAGGUGAUCCGCUCUGAGUCAUAUUUUCUUCUUUUAUUGCACCCUUGCCAGCCGAGUUCAUUGAUUCACUCAAUAAACAGGCCUUGCGCACUUGGUGUGGAAAUGAAUCGGCUGUACUUGAUGGUCCCGUUUAUGCAAAUCUGAUCCAGUAAUUGAUUCGGAAGCGUAUCAUACUCGAGUGCUUGACCAGGAAAGGGUUCUGAAGACGGUAUGAGAAUGCAACAAAUAUCUGUGCAGCUCCGAGAGCCGGGCCUUUCUUUGUUUAGGUUCUGGGCACAUCAACAUUGCAGCAGGGAACUUGCACGAUGCAACGGACUCAUGAAGACAGGAAAUGAGACGGGGCCACAUGUUUCCAUGGUCCGAGAGUAUGUCUCCCACCCCACACCAGUUGACUGUUGCUUCUCUUAUUCUGCUCCCUCGACCUCCUGCCUUUCGGUCGUUGGUUCUUUUGGGGACUCCUUUGAUCAUGGAGCAGUUCAGGUCACCCACAUGUUUAAUAUUGUUAAAUAACGUGACGUGAUGGGAAAAGUCACGGGCUGGGACUAAAACACCGUAUGGUUCUAGCCCCGGCUUUGCUACCCGAUGAAAUUCGUCGCUUUCGACAAAUCUCUCAGGAACUGAAUCUCGGUUCCCUCCUCCCCAGAAUAAGGUUGAUUCGCGCUCUGCAGCAACCACGGCGGGAAAGAUCCAAGGCCUCAGUUUUCUCAUCUGUAAAGUAAGGGGUUUGACCUAGAUUUAAUGUUUGCAAACUGUCUUUAGAAGUGGAGUCCCUCUUUACAAUACAAUCUAACAUGAAAUCCCCACGUUUGGUAAAACAGGUGAAGAUAGGCUUGCCCUUGCGCCCCUGGGUCGCGCGUAUUUCUUCCUGUAUCCCACAGAAGGCCCUCGAGGCACGGCGGGUUCCACCGGACACGGUGUGAAACUCACCGUGCUAGAUGAUUACUCCAAAGUACCCCCCAGUUCUGGGGCGCCUGGGUGGCGCAGUCGGUUAAGCAUCUGACUCUUGAUGUGGCGCAGGUCAUGAUCUCACCGUUUGUAAGUUCGAGCCCCACAUCGGGCUGUGCGCUGAGGACAAGGAGCCUCCAUGGGAUUCUGUCUCUCCUCCUCUGCUCCUCCCCCCGCUUGUGCUCUUUCUCUCUCUCUCAAAGUAAAUAAACUUACAAUAAAAAAAAUAAUAGGGGCGCCU
rnacentral:lncRNA from 1 species